CAAUAGCGUAUAUUAAAGUUGUUGCGGUUAAAAAGCUCGUAGUUGGAUUUCUGCUGAGGACGACCGGUCCGCCCUCCGGGUGAGCAUCUGGUUCGGCCUUGGCAUCUUCUUGGUGAACGUAUCUGCACUUGACUGUGUGGUGCGGUACCCAGGACUUUUACUUUGAGGAAAUUAGAGUGUUUCAAGCAGGCAUACGCCUUGAAUACAUUAGCAUGGAAUAAUAAGAUAGGACCUCGGUUCUAUUUUGUUGGUUUUGAGAGCUGGGGCAGCGAUUGAUAGGGACGGAUGGGGGCGUCCGAACUUUACUGUCAGAGGUGAAAUUCUUAGAUCGGUCAAAGGCGAACUACUGCGAACGCAUUCGCCAAGAAUGUUUUCUUUAAUCAAGAACGAAAGUUAGGGGAUCGAAGACGAUCAGAU
rnacentral:rRNA from 1 species